CCUAUCUUCCAUCUUUACCGCUGCUAAUUCUCCUAUUCUAGCUAGAAAUUGUUGGCUUUCAGUGUGUGGAACUUGGAUUUCUUCAUGUUUCUACAGUGGGUUAUCAAUCAAAUGCCAUGGAAUGCUACUGGUGUGUUCUCCGGUGGAUGGGAUGAAGCUCCUCUUUUUGUGCUAAGUUCAAGAAAUCGGGUCCCUAGAUGCUACAUCAGAUCUGUUUGCUGAUGAGAUAGAGAUAAUGGGAUUCUCGAACCCACAUGCAAGUAGACUGAUGUAGUCUAUCCAAGUGUUUCAAAAGCCAAUAUCUCUCCUGACCUUCCCCUUUUAUUGAGAGUCCUCUUUUAAGGCUGCCAAAGAUUAGGCUAGGAAACUUGUUUUGUUUUAGUUUCCUCCUUGUAAAUAUGUGGUUGUCAACUUCUGAAAACUAUAGCCUACUCAACCUGUCUACUCUUGUGUUGCUCUUAUCCUUAUGAAAGGACAUUGUAAUUUGUCACUAUUCAAUAUCUUUCUGCCUUUUACCUCUAAUUGCUGAAAA